GUUAGAUUUCGUUCCAAGUGUAUAUGAAUUUUCCAGUUUUUGUAGCCUAUUGUUUUGCAACUUACAAAUCUUACUAUAAACAAUGGUAUCAUAUGUAUGCACAUAUAAUACCAUGUAUGUUUACUGUCUCUUCUUUAAUAGGUCGGUCCAUCUAAAUGAAACUAUUAAUUGUCAUACAUACAGCAUUUAUUCACUCUGAUUAAAAAUAAACCCAAAUCCAAAAGACCCCCCAGUUCUUUUUGAUUUUCUAUAUCUUAUGUUCGUUUCAUCAUUACCCUGUGUAUGCCAUGGUAUGUUCUCAAUUUGCGUUUCUUUCAGUCACCAGGAAAUAUGGAAUAAAGAACUUUAAAAAGUGUUGCAAGCUUGGCAAACACCAUGCAUAGGGCAGGUUUUUGCUAUUAUCACCCAAUUAGGUAAUUAUUAUCACUCAAUUUCCACCUAAUUGGAUAAUUACUAUCACUACCUUAUUUGUCUCUGUGAUGAUUUACCGGGCAUAUACAGCUCCAUCCUUUCUUUACUUGAGGUUUUUUUUUUUUUCAGAGUUUUCUCUUUAAGGUUAAACACAGGUUUAAAUAAGGUUUAAUAGCAUGGAUCUUUUAGGGGGGUUGCUGCUUUGAGUGACACUUUGUGGUGAUGCAUGCAACUAUAACCAACAACCUUCUGACAUGCUAUAGCUUAGUAAGAACUUUAAUCCAUGUUUGUAAUUUUGUGCCUUUUUGGAGAUUUCUUUUUGUGCAGUUGUUUAGAAAUGUUAAUUUGAAAUCAUUGAUUGUGCAUUUGCUAUGGUUAGCUGGUUUAAUUAUUUUUUUAUUUCACUAUUGUAUGCAGUAUGUUGGCUUUUGUAAAGCAUUUUCUUGCUUUUUGUGUGGUUAAUAGCACAGACUGUCCAGGAAGUAAACACCCAAGUUCCUUGGUGAAGGAAAUGCCUAUUUUACUUUACUUAUGUGUUACAUCUAAUUAGGAUAUGUUUUUGUCUGAGUGAUGCCCCUGGAUGUAUCUUAUUGACGUGAAUUAGCUGAUAAUAUCAUUGUUCAUGAUCCUGUCUGGCUCCUUCAAAGUGAUUGUUAAGAUAUCUAGAGCCGAGUCUUGGUUCUGGGUAUCAGUGGGGGGCUGCUGCACUAGUCAAACAAAAACAGAAUAAAUAAUAGUAAUUUUUUGCAGCCCUAACUGGUACCCUUUCCUUGUGCAAACAUUAUACAUUUAUUUAAAUUUUUUAUUUAGCUUAAAUAACCUGGCCAGGACAGUGCACUGUGGGUCAAGUUGUCUGUCUGCGUCUCAGGCAGACGUUCCUAUUCUCAGAUGUCAACAACAUGUCACAUUUGUCAUAUUGAUACUGUCCUCGUCAAAGCUGUCCAAGUCCUCUGCUGUGGCUUUCAGAAAGCAGAGAUAAGGGAGGUGGAAAUUAUGCUGCUUGGCUU
ensembl:lncRNA